AGUGAAGAGAAUAGAUUUGACACUUUUGCAUUGUAUAAAAUAUGUAUUGUCACACAGAGGCGUUGCGUGCCGGGGGCGUUAUCUCAGUCAGACAUACAGCAACAUAACAGAAUAUCAGGUUGGCAGUUAAUACGACCUCCAUUAGACAAGUACAAUGACAUCAGGCCAGCAGUCACAGUGGCAUCUGGCCAACAGGAAAUCCAGGAAGGAAUUCCGGAAUUGUUUUGGCCCACAAUCAUCCUCGGAACUUGCCUAACAUAUUUGCUUUUGGAACUAGUCCUCGAUAUUGCUUCGUUGAGGUGAUACGACUUAAAGCUGCGGACACACAUCGGACACACAUCCAUCCUUGACGAGUUAAUAAUCGCAAUUGUCCGUAUGGAAAUUGCGCUAAAAGUAGCAUUGUAAUGUAAAUCUAAUUUAGUGAAUUAUUAGAAAUUGUAACGUGAAAAUUUUAAUAAAUAAAAUGGCUAAAGUGUGUGGCAAAUUUUAUUAUUAUUGUUUUUCUAACAACACUUUCUGUAUGUAAAUUCCAAUGAGGCCAAUCUGUUUUGAA